AGUUUGAUCCUGGCUCAGGACGAACGCUGGCGGCACGCUUAACACAUGCAAGUCGAACGAGAGAAGAGAAGCUUGCUUUUCUGAUCUAGUGGCGGACGGGUGAGUAACACGUGAGCAAUCUGCCUUUCAGAGGGGGAUACCGAUUGGAAACGAUCGUUAAUACCGCAUAACAUAAUUGAACCGCAUGAUUUGAUUAUCAAAGAUUUAUCGCUGAAAGAUGAGCUCGCGUCUGAUUAGCUAGUUGGUAAGGUAACGGCUUACCAAGGCGACGAUCAGUAGCCGGACUGAGAGGUUGAUCGGCCACAUUGGGACUGAGACACGGCCCAGACUCCUACGGGGGCCACCAUUGGGGAAUAUUGCACAAUGGAGGAAAUUUUGAUGCAGCGAUCCCCCCUGAGGGAAAAAGGUUUUAGGAUUGUAAACCUCUGUUUUUCAGGGACGAAAAAAGACGGUACCUGAGGAGGAAGCUCCGGCUAACUACGUGCCAGCAGCCGCGGUAAUACGUAGGGAGCGAGCGUUGUCCGGAAUUACUGGGUGUAAAGGGAGCGUAGGCGGGAUCGCAAGUCAGAUGUGAAAACUAUGGGCUUAACCCAUAAACUGCAUUUGAAACUGUGGUUCUUGAGUGAAGUAGAGGUAAGCGGAAUUCCUAGUGUAGCGGUGAAAUGCGUAGAUAUUAGGAGGAACAUCAGUGGCGAAGGCGGCUUACUGGGCUUUAACUGACGCUGAGGCUCGAAAGCGUGGGGAGCAAACAGGAUUAGAUACCCUGGUAGUCCACGCCGUAAACGAUGAUUACUAGGUGUGGGGGGACUGACCCCUUCCGUGCCGCAGCAAACGCAAUAAGUAAUCCACCUGGGGAGUACGACCGCAAGGUUGAAACUCAAAGGAAUUGACGGGGGCCCGCACAAGCAGUGGAGUAUGUGGAUUAAUUCGAAGCAACGCGAAGAACCUUACCAGGUCUUGACAUCGUAUGCAUAGCUCAGAGAUGAGUGAAAUCUCUUCGGAGACAUAUAGACAGGUGGUGCAUGGUUGUCGUCAGCUCGUGUCGUGAGAUGUUGGGUUAAGUCCCGCAACGAGCGCAACCCUUACUGUUAGUUGCUACGCAAGAGCACUCUAGCAGGACUGCCGUUGACAAAACGGAGGAAGGUGGGGAUGACGUCAAAUCAUCAUGCCCCUUAUGACCUGGGCCUCACACGUACUACAAUGGCUGUUAACAGAGGGAUGCAAAGCCGCGAGGUGGAGCGAACCCCUAAAAGCAGUCUUAGUUCGGAUUGUAGGCUGCAACCCGCCUACAUGAAGUCGGAAUUGCUAGUAAUCGCAGAUCAGCAUGCUGCGGUGAAUACGUUCCCGGGCCUUGCACACACCGCCCGUC
rnacentral:rRNA from 1 species